rnacentral:rRNA from 1 species
AACGCUAGCUACAGGCUUAACACAUGCAAGUCGAGGGNCAGCAUUUUAGUUUGCUUGCAAACUGAAGAUGGCGACCGGCGCACGGGUGAGUAACACGUAUCCAACCUGCCGAUAACUCCGGGAUAGCCUUUCGAAAGAAAGAUUAAUACCGGAUAGUAUACGAAUAUCGCAUGAUAUUUUUAUUAAAGAAUUUCGGUUAUCGAUGGGGAUGCGUUCCAUUAGUUUGUUGGCGGGGUAACGGCCCACCAAGACUACGAUGGAUAGGGGUUCUGAGAGGAAGGUCCCCCACAUUGGAACUGAGACACGGUCCAAACUCCUACGGGAGGCAGCAGUGAGGAAUAUUGGUCAAUGGGCGAGAGCCUGAACCAGCCAAGUAGCGUGAAGGAUGAAGGCUCUAUGGGUCGUAAACUUCUUUUAUAUGGGAAUAAAGUUUUCCACGUGUGGAAUUUUGUAUGUACCAUAUGGAUAAGGAUCGGCUAACUCCGUGCCAGCAGCCGCGGUAAUACGGAGGAUCCGAGCGUUAUCCGGAUUUAUUGGGUUUAAAGGGAGCGUAGGUGGAUUGUUAAGUCAGUUGUGAAAGUUUGCGGCUCAACCGUAAAAUUGCAGUUGAAACUGGCAGUCUUGAGUACAGUAGAGGUGGGCGGAAUUCGUGGUGUAGCGGUGAAAUGCUUAGAUAUCACGAAGAACUCCGAUUG